rnacentral:rRNA from 1 species
UACGUAGGUGGCGAGCGUUGUCCGGAAUUACUGGGUGUAAAGGGAGCGCAGGCGGGGAAGCAAGUCAGCUGUGAAAUCUAUGGGCUUAACCCAUAACGUGCAGUUGAAACUGUUUUUCUUGAGUGGAGUAGAGGUAGGCGGAAUUCCGAGUGUAGCGGUGAAAUGCGUAGAUAUUCGGAGGAACACCAGUGGCGAAGGCGGCCUACUGGGCUCUAACUGACGCUGAGGCUCGAAAGUGUGGGGAGCAAACAGG